rnacentral:lncRNA from 1 species
GCCGCAGGGCCUGCUGGGCGCCGGGAAGCCAGAGACUGAGCUCAGCGAAGCGCGGCGGUGGCAUGUGGCGGCCGGUGAGGACUCGCUCAUCCCGGGACCCGACCCCGCCCGCCCGGGACUCCCGCCCCAGGCCCCGAGAUCCCAGUCACCCGGACCCCCGCUCCAGGACCCAGACCCCGCAUGCCAAGGACGCCCACCUGAGUGCUCCAGACCCCCUCAGGCCCCCACCUCCCCAUCCGGCUCCCAUCCUUCUCUGCCCCUCGCAACCCUAGUGCUCUUUGACUGCCCCUGGCCCUCUGACCCUGAGGGAGCGAGUGGACACCACACAACAGCCCAGGAGAGGCGCAGCCCGCUUGCGCCCCACCCCCAGUCCUCUCAGUCCUCCGGGAGAGGGGGACACUCUUCCAGUCCCUGUCUGCAGCGGGACCCGUCCCCUCCCUGCGAGAACCCGUUCCCUCUUCUGUUUGAGGGAAGGGAGAGAAUUAGUGGGUCUCGACGGACUCAGGGUGGCCCUCCCCUCCCGGUCCCCCAUCUUCUACACUGGCGAUGGCUCUGUCCUUGGAGGCGCCCUGGAUUAUGGCCCUUUCUCCAGCAGCGUUUUUUGUGUGUUCUUUGUUGUUGUUUGCAGUACUGGGGAUCGAAUCUGGAGUGUUCUGUCACUGAGGUAUACCCCCAUCGCUUUUAGUUUUUUUAAAUUUUGAGACAGGGUCUUGCUACAUGGCUCAGGUGGGUCUCAAAGUUGACAUGACUCUCCUGCCUCAGCCUCCUGAGCUGGGAGUAUAGGGCAGUGCCACUGUGUGGUGUUCCUUUUUGGGGUUUUCUGUAGAGCUUGUGUUUUUCUAGGAAGCCUGGCCUUCAAGGUUAGGUACUGAUAAGACCACAAGUCUGCCAGCUCGUGGCUUGCAGUGGGUAGCUUUGUUGCAGAAGAGUAUUUUCUGGGCUGACAACGAUGGAGUGAUGUUAGAGAGUCAGGCAGAGACAGGGUUGGCCUUUGGCAAUGCUUCUUCACAUACCAGGCCACCAAUCCUCCAGACAGCCCCAGGGAGCAGACAGGCCUCUGAGUAGGAGCUGCUUUGAGCUUUGAGUACAGCUUGGUCCAGCAGGCUUUGAGCACGAGAGCAUUUCUAGUCACCAGAACCAAUUUCCUGGCUCAGCUUUGCAGUCUGACUCUUGGUUUUCUUUCCUGUUAGGGUGCAUAGGGCUGUGGAUCCUGUUGUUAAGCUGCUUGGUUCUAGUCCCCUCUUUUAGUUUUUCUUUUAAAGCCUCAUUUUGAGAGUCCUAGUUGCUUCUUCCUGCCACAGGCUGGCUUAUCUGUGGCCACCUUUCAUCUUUCCUCCAAUUUGCUCUCUGACCUGCAGAGAAACAGGAGGACUCAGCCCUGCUCUGCCUGAUAGCACCCACUUUGGGUACCUAUUGGAGAGGUAAUAUUCAGAGCUUGCUUUUGCUACUUUAUAGAUUUCUGUUUCCACUGGAAACAGCAGCUAUUGGAGAAAAACUGGGCAAGUGUUUCUUUUUGCAGACAGACUGGACACACAAGCCCUAUAAGCAGUAUGAGGGCUCGGGUAAAGGGAGCCAGUUUCAUUUUGUCCAAACUGGAAGGAGAGGGGUUGCUGCUGGGACCAGUAUAGCCAGAGCAGUCCCAGUUGGUAGGAGUAUGUGGUCUCAACAACGGGGAGGAGCUGGUGAUAUGCGCGACAAUGUCCUGGGAUCGAGUCUUCUCUGCCUUUUUGCCAGUGGUUUGGUGGUUGUGUCCUGGGUGGGGUUUGGUUUAUGUGCAGUGUGGUGGAAAUUAUUCUGGCUGUGGGCUUGGCCCCACAUACACUAUUUGGGCUCUGAGAGUCCCUCUGACAUGGGAAUUUCAAAGAUGAUUGCUUGGAGAACCCUGGGCAUCCCACACUAGGAGGCAGACAGUAGAAUUGCCCGAUGAGCUUGUAGGAGUUCUUGGGCCAUCUGCAUGAGAUCUUGUCCACUUUUGUCCUGUCUAGGGCUGGACUUGCCCUCUGUUGCCUGACUGUGACCUUCUGCCUAUUGCUUGGCAGAGGUCCUAGUGUGAGCUGUGUAGGUUAGUUCUGUGCUUGCCCCCCCCCCCUUAAUGUUAUUGUAUUUUUAGACCUUUAAUUAAUUUAUUAAUUUAUUUUUAUGUGAUGCUGAGGAUCUAAUCCAAUUCCUCACAAAUGCUAGGCAAGUGUCUACCGCUGAGCUGCAAUCACAGCCCCCGCUCGGCCUCUUUUGUCUCUCAACAAGUGUGUGUGCCUCACCCCAGCACAGCACUCAGUCCUGGAAGUGUGGAGCUGCUUGGGAGGUGGACCAGCCAGAGACAAGUGCUUUAAGUUCACUGUCAUGCCAGCCCGGAGAAGGACAGUGGGAGAGGGGUGUACAAGAUGCAGAGGAACAAGGAAGAGGAACAUAGUGAGCAGGGUGGACCCACCGAUGGGGUGGGGAGUUGCAGGUGGGAUCCCAGGGCCAGAGCUCCUACUGUAGUGUGGGUUCCUAGGAAAACAUCAGGAAACUGUGACUGGGUGUGAUGCUUAGGGGCCAGAGCCUCCUGACUUCACCUGUGAGAGCAGUGUGCCCCGUGCUGGUGAGGUACUGGGACCUGCACACUUAGGCCUCAGCUGCCCACCCGAGUCUUGAUAGAAUGGGCAGUCACCAGAAGCACCCAGAGCCUCCAGUUUCAUUGUAAAAUAGUUCAGAUGAGUGUUCUUUUCUGUCAAAGAACUGUGUGUUUUAAUAUAUGAAAGCGAUGUGACUUGAUUAUUUCCCUUCCAAACCUUUGGGGACAGUGUGCUUGACUCUGUGACCUUGGGAACAAUACUGAGCACUGUGGCCUUGGGGACCCUGCUUGAGGAUCUUACCACAGGAUGCCGAGGCCUCUGUGUCAGCUAAGAAAGCAGUUAGAUCUGGGUCUUCCUCCCAGCUUUGCCAGGUCUUGUGAGUAAGGACAUGUAAAGUCCCCAUCUUAAGUGACACCUACUUUUACAGCAUGUCUAUUAAGUGCCAGUCCCAAGUGAGCUCCCCUCUCCAACCUUGAAAAUGUCCAUUUUUUCCCCAGAUUCAGUGGGGGCUUCUCCAGGCACACUAGCCUUACCCUAACUCAGCACUUGGUGGGCUCUACCUCCUCAGCAACACCCCUUCAGCAUGAGGGUGCCAUCUAGACACUGCUAUUGCCUGGGGUCACCAGAAGACCUGAGGGGCUGGUGGCUGAUGCUUGACUGGGUUGUGCACACUCUCCUUUGGAGAUGAACCCUUCCUGAGGCUUCUUUGAACCUCCCUGAAGGGCUUGGGACCUUUCCCAGGCAGAAUUGGUGGACAUGGAGUGUGAGCCCUCCCCCAGCCUGGCUCUCCCAUCCGCUGCCUCCAAGUCAAAUGUACCCACAGCACAUGGGCCCUUCCUGUCCAGCCCUCGUGUUGUCCUUGGGGGCCAUGUGAUGCUGGGGUCAGCCUUUUAUCCUGGACAGCUAUGUGUGAGCCUUGGCCCUUCCUGGGGCAGAGGUCCCUGAUUGGUGUGGGUACCUGCAGCCUCUACCUUUCUUCCACUCUCUGCCUAUUGUCUAGAAUGUAUGUGGCUCCUUCUCUUCUGAAUGCUGAAUCUUAAGAGUAGUCAUUGUGUCAGCUUUGGCCAUUUUCUUUGCUUACCAUCCCCUUGAAAACUGCAGCCAACCCUCUCCUGACCUGUUCCAGUUAGUGCACACCUCUCUUCAUUUUUGGAAUUUAACCUGUAUGUACAUGCUGGAAGUCUCCUUUUUCUUCUGGAUUAAAUCCCUUUUAUCCUUUUGAAAAUCAGCCGGAAUCUGCCACUCCUAAUAUAAAUAAUUCAACUCAGCAAGUAGGUAUGGGAUUGCCCUGUUAGAUGGGGUGAGCUGAGGGUCACUGAGGACCAGUGAGGGGCUUGGCGCAGGGGAAAAGCCUUAGAGGGCUGUGUUGGGAAUCCUGAGCCUAGCAAGGUCUCAAGCCCAUCUGCCUGCCACGCACCUUCUCACGGUGCCUGGUGUGUUGGGCACUGCUCCAAGGACUUUGCAGACAGCUUGGGGGGCUUGAGUUGCACAUUGUUUGUUCAGUGAUCCCACUUCAUGGACAGAGAAACUGAGGGACAGAGAGAGAAGUAAUUUGCCUCAGGCUGAUGGCCAGUUAAAUGCUGGAACCAAGACUCCAGCCCCCAAAGGCCUUCUAGAUUCUUCCUGAGAUUCUCAGCCUCAGCUUCUGGGACUCUGCACAGUUGGUGUGAGCAGCACUCUGGCCUCUCCCUGCUUGGUGCAGAGGAAGUUUUCCCCCAAGUGGUAAUGAGAAGAGUCUCAUCAGUGCCAAUGUCCUAGGCACAGAAUCACCCAAGGUGUGAGCUGCCUUAGCUCAAAAAACACCACUUUCUCAGCUGGGACUUUCAGUACUAGAGCAGAUGUUUUGUGACUUUUCUUCAGGAAAGUAUUUCCUUUAUUAUUUUUUUUAGAGAUAAGUAUUUCCCUUAAUUUAUUAUUAUUUUUUUUUUUUUAGAUAGAUUUAGGUGCUCUACCCCUGAACUACCCCAGAACUUUAUUUUGAGACAGAGUCUUGCUAAGUUGCCUAGGUUGGCCUUGAACUUGCAAUCCUGCCUUGGCCUCCCAUGUUGCUGGGAGUUGCAGUUGUCCAGAUAACUACUGCUUAGAUCUACUCACUAUUAAUAUGCUGCCUUAACUGUUUUCUCUUUCUGCUUGGAAAAAAAUAUACUUUGUUGUCACUGGACUAUUUGAAAGUAAAUCACAGACAUUUUGACAUCUAAUCUCUUAACACUUUAAUGUGCAUCCACUAAGCAAGGACAGUCUCUUGCGUACCCAGGGUAGUUUUUCAUGCCUGAAUCACUAGUAAUUCCCUCCAUCUGUUGCAGAGUCCAGUUCAACUUGCCUGGUGUCCUCAGAAUGUCCUUCCUACAGGUGUCUUGUCCUCCUUCUGACUGAGGCUUUUGCUGAGCUUGCCAUGGUGCCUGUCUGCAGUGCUCUUCCCACCUUUUCCUGUGACUUUUUGUUUUAAUUUUCUGUUUGGAGAAGUUGCAGUUAUUUAUAGAAGUAGAGAGAGUUAAUGCCUGUGCCCAUACCAGCAGUGCUCAAUUCCUGGCUGACGCUACUUUUUGAAAGGGCCAGGUUGUUAUUAGAGGAUGUCCCUCACUUGUGAUUGCUUAUAUUUCAAGGUCAGAAGGUGCCUAUCGAGUACAGGGGCACAGCUGGUGGCUGAUGUUGCUUCUUAUCCACUGGGCGGAGGUCUUGCUGGGAAGGUCAGUUGCAGCAGAACCCUUGAGAGCCAGAGUGGCAGCAGGUGUGUGAUGGUAGCAAGGCACCAGCUUCAGGCCAUCUUGCCCCGGAUCCACUUGGCUCCAGUCCCUUCUGACUGGACACUGCCCCUGCCUCCUUGGACUGAUCUCCUGAGUGGGGGGUCAGCCCAGCUCCCUCUCACUUCCUCCCUGUGGCCUUGGGACCCCUCACAGUGUACUGCUGAAUACAGCUUGCUCUGUGCCUUCCCUUUCCUUUUGGACCUGGGCACACGUUCUGCUUUCCAGCCACAUAGGCCUGUUUCCCACUCCUCAGAGAUGCCCAUGCCAUCCUGGCCUUGGGCCUCUGGGGACACUGUCCACGAGGAGGUUCCCCACUGUCCAGGUCGUGGUAUGUGCCUCCACGUUGUGCUCUCUGGGCUGGCCAUGGAGCGCUGGCCAUGGAGCUCUGGCCCUGGUCGUAGGCAGAGCUGGUUUGUCUGUGUGCCCUGCAUUGUGGCAUGGGGUAGAGGACUCUGGGAUAAGGUGGGCAGUGGUCAGGAUGACCGCCUAGAGCCAGCUGCUCUGCAGGCAUUCCUAGCUCCUGCUGUGAGCAUCUCUGCGGUACCUACUCCCUGGGCCUCUACAGGUUGUGCAUGUCAUGGCACUGGAGACAUCUAGGGUGAUGAGGUAAAGUCAGAUGGGCUGCAGGUGUACCCCCUCUGCCUGGGGCUUCCUCUGUUGCCUCUGGUUUCUUGAGAAUCAGUGCCUAUAGCUUGUGGCCUUGCUGAACAGAAGGUUUGGUCAGCCAGUUCUCCUGGGACAGUAGGUCAUGAACCUUGUCCGUUGACCUCUGUGUUGUUUUAAAGUCCUUGGAAUUGUUUUCAUGGCUGCACACCUUGGCCAGAAACCAAUUGGGUGUCUGCUCCUUGGUUGGCCCAGCUCUUAGGGCAGUGCUGUCCGGUGACACGGUGGGCUUUAUUCCCUUAAGUGCUGAUUUGCUAGAAGAAUUAGCAGUUGAGGAAUCUUUUUUUUUUUUUAUAUAUAUAUAUAUAUUUUUUUUUUAGUUUUCCGCAGACACAACAUCUUUGUUUGUAUGUGGUGCUGAGGAUCGAACCUGGGCUGCUCGCAUGCCAAGCCAUAGAGCUACCGCUUGAGCCACAUCCCCAGCCCCAAGUUGAGGAAUCUUUAAAAUCUCACAUUUCAAAUGAGCCUGGGAGCCAGAUGGAGUGGCACAUGCUGUGGUCCAGCUAUUUGGGAGGCUGAGGUGGGAAGGUUACUUGAGCUCUAGAGCGUGAGACCCCGUCUCUGAAUAAACAAGAUUGAGAGGUCAAGGUCGCCAGUGAGUCUGAUAGCUGCGGUGCUGCCCCUGGGCUGAGCCUGGCCCCGGACCAUGUGCACAGUUUUCUCUGCCUCCUCACCCUUCAGGGAGGGGCUCUCUGGGGUCUGGUGAGUUGGGAGCUCCUUGUGCCUUUGUGCCUUCAGAACAGCAGUCCUCAAAAGGGUCAGUUCUCCUUCCUGCACUUACUUCUAAUUGUGUGGCCUGUGAGUGGCCUGCCUUUCUGUGGUCACUGGUCAGUGUUUCUCAGUAACUGAUAGGUCACAGGGCCACCAAAAGAGUGAUGGUGGGUCUUGGCAUAGACAGGCCAGGUCAUGAUGAGUUCUUCCUGCAGAGACUGAGGGGACUUUGACAGUCGGGCAUUUUUAGUCAUACCACCUUGGCCUUUCUUUGCCUGGGGUAUGCUUCCUUCCGGGAGUUAGGCCUGUUCCUUUGUCCUGGCAUCCUGGCUUCAGGUUGGUGGCCCAGUGAGUGAGGCACCCUGUCCUGGGUGCCACCUUGCUGAGCCUGCUGUGGCUCUUUGCAGUUGCAGCUCUGCCCCUUCCACUUGGCUCUGCUGAGGAGCAGGCGGAAGCCCUGGCCUUGCCCUGCAGUGUUCUUCAGGAGGAACUUCAGGGGCCCAUCUGCAAGGUAACCAGCCCCCGUUCCAUGGACAUGCACACCCCGCCCCCCAAGGCAGGGAGGCGUUCUGUGUCAGGGGAAUGGAGGCAGAGGGGCCUGAGCAGGACCUUCUGUUGUACCUGCAAGGCAGGGGGCCUCUGUACACAUGCAGUGCCUGGGACCCAAGAUGACUGGGGCCCUGACCCAGGACAGCAUAACCAGCAGAUGCCGGCACAUCAGGAGGACAUAUGGCCAUCUGCCUCAGACAGAAACAGGGAAACCGUUCUGAGCAUGGAGAGGGGGACUGCCAUGGGUGGGGUCAGGCAAGAGAUAGGAGCAUCCAGAAGAGAGGUGGGGAGGUGUGUUCUAAGCAAAAGGAAAGGCCUCUGAGGCCCUGCGGGCAGUGAGGCUGGACCAUAUUGGACAGCUCUUCCUCCCAGCAUCUGUGCAUGCUCACACUCUGUGUCCUUGGAACCGACAGACUAGAAGUGGACACAGGUGGAUGAGCAAGCCUCCUGAGUGCAGCAGCAUGGAGGUUUGCUCUCCUUGUCUUUAGCUCCGCUGGGUUUGGGUGUCCUACCAGUCACUGUCCCAAUGCUCACAACCUAACUGACCCAUCAUGAGGGGUAGUGGUGGCUGUGACUCUGGGCAGUGCCCUCGUCCCAUGGAGUGCAGACCCUCCAGGCUGCUUUAGCUUGGCUGAGCCACUGUACACCAGUGGCCACAGUGGGACUGAACACAGGGAGACUUUCCCUCAGAGCUGCCUGAUGUCCACAUCAUUGUGGGCCGUCCUCACUGAGGCUCAGUCUUGGGAGGGUAGCCCCUGCAGCUCCUGUCUGCCCCUCAGGUCCUCGAGUCCCUCGUCGCUAUGGAAGAGGACGCUUUCCACCACUGUGUUGGGGGUGCCCCUGCUCCUUGGAAUCCGCUAUUUCACAGCAGAGGCCCGGGAGAAGAGGAAGAUGCGGCUUGUGGUAGAUGGCUUUGGGCGCUUUGGCAGGUAGGAGGGCACAGGUGGGCUGUGCCUGUCCUUGGAAGGGCUGCAGUGUUCUGUGGGGACUCUUGCCACCUUCCAGGUGUCUUUGGCUGUGGGGGGUGGCAAGCAUUGUUGCCAUGCCACACGUGGAUGAGGGACUGCCAGGGAGGGCCUCUCACACUGGAUGUAGCCCCACAGACCCUUGGCUGGAUGGCAGCUGCCACCUUCCCUUCUCACCCCACCACAAGAAGAGCUGGUCUCCCAGACAGGCCUGGGCUGGCCACAGCAGCCGCCCUGUUCCUAGUACCCAUGGUCUUCCAGGCUCUCCUGUCUCAGUGCAGAAUGGAGGGCAUGGGACAAUCUGUUCCCUGCCAAGUUGACCCUUGUGGGCACUGGCAAGCCUUGGCUCCUGGUGUUUUGUGGUAGUGCCAACAUGCCUUCCAGCUGCCCUUCCUCCCCUGUGCGCCACACUGUCACUCGCUGACACUAUUAUUUGGGUAAAUUGUUUACGGUGGUCAGAAGGUGGUUCUUCUAAUUUAGUCAUUCCCUCAACAUAUAUUGCUGGCAUCUCUUGUAAGGGAGCUCUCUGCCAGUUAUGAAUCCAUUGGUUUAUUUAUACCAUCUAGACUGAGAGAUUUGCUUUAUUAAUGUGUUACUAUAAGUAUCAUUUUUUUUGGGGGGGGGGUAUUAGGGAUUGAACUUGGGGGCACUCGACCACUGAGCCACAUCCCAGCCCUAUUUUGUAUUUUAUUUAGAGACAGGGUCUCACUGAGUGGCUUAAGGCCCUGCUAAGUUGCUGAGGCUGGCCUAGAACUUGUGAUCCUCCUGUCUCACCCUUUCAAUUUGCUGGGAUUAUAGGUGUGUGCCCCAUGUCUAACUUCUCCAACAUUUUAUUUUGAAGAAAUUAAAACAGCAAAGUUGAGCACGCUCUAUGUGCCAGGUGUGGCGCCAUACUCCUAUAAUCCUAGCUGGGGAGGCUGAGGCAGGAGGAUCACAAGUUCAAAACCAGCCUCAGCAAUUUAGAGAGGGCCUAAGCCACUCAGUGAGACCCUGUCUCAAAAUAAAAAGGGCAGUGGUAAGGGUUAGGGUUAGGGUUAGGGUUAGGGUUUCUUUCCUGAGCGUUCUGCCCCUUCCUGGCACUGCUGGAUGUAUCAGGCUCUCCAGUCUUUCCCUGCCCAGCCCUGGGGUCAGUUUGGGGUGGGAUGGUUGGAGCCACUCCUGAUGCAAGCAGGCCUUGCCUUGCGAGGUGCACAGCCGGGAUCGGGUGUGCACAGACACCACUCCCAUGUGCCUGUGGCUGCGUUCCUCGUUGGUUAGAAGACCACGUGCUCACAUGGAUGCCUCCCGUUCCUAGCAGAGCCAUUCUGUCUCCCUCUGCAUUAGUGGAAUACUGAGUGUGGCCACCAUCCUCACCUCAGGUCACCUGAAGGCUCCAGGUCUGCAUUGCUCAAGGGGGAAGGGGCCUCCUGGAGUCCCAGGGAGCUGAGCAGUCCUCUCCAUGCCCACUCUGCUGGCCACCCAAGCCCUUGUGGCAGAGGUUCCCCCUGUGGGACGGUCCAGCUGUGGAGGACAGCUUAGCAGGUGCAGGGCAAGGCCUCACCUUGCCACUCCCAUGGUGAGGGACCUAUAUCCCAGAAUGGAAGGGAUUCUUCCCCUCCCAGCUGUUAGCCGGGGUCAGACCACCCACCUUUUAGCUCUGAGCCCCCCUGUGCUGCAGUGUCCAGACCGACCAGCUGAGCAGCUCUCCAGGAUCCCCACCCUUGGGCUCCAUUCUCAGAGGAGCAGUGACCUUGCUUCUCUUAGUCUUGGAGACCCUUCCUCCUCCUUUUGGUGGUGACAAGAGGCCUUCCUGAUUGGUGCAUGUUUUUGCCCCGUCCCCACUAUCUAUCUCCCCCUUCCCUGGGUUUCUGUGGGUGCUAACAGUCAGGAGUGAGAGUGGCCUUGUGAGACCUGGGACUGAGACUGACCAGCAGGCACUAACUAGCUCACUAGGACCUGAGUCCUGUAGACUGGGUCCUGGCUCCAUCUCUCCCUUGGCAUGGGGUUGGCGGGGGUGAGGUAGAGCCUGACAGGGCUCUGAGAAGAGGAACCAGCACUGGACUCCACCUCAUAGCCUACCUUCAGGGGCUAAGGCCUCCUCUGCCCGCAGGUCCCUGGGGAUUGGCCUGUACAUCUCCCUGGACUACUGGUGGUGCACAAAUGUCAUCCUGCGAGGGGUGGAAGAGGUUUGUCCCCCUGCCCUGGGCAUGCAGGGGGCACACUGGAGGUGGUGGGUGCCUUGGGGACUGAGGAGGUGGCUGCCUGCCCCCAUCCUCCCCUCCCCGUCUAUGGUCAGAACAGCCCGAGGUACGUGGAGGUGAUGUCUGCUUGUCACCAGCGAGCAGCUGAUGCCCUGGUGGCAGGGGCCAUCCGCAAUGGUGGCCUCUACGUGAAGCUGGGCCAGGGACUAUGCUCCUUCAACCACCUGCUGCCACCAGAGUACAUCCGGACACUGCGUGUACUAGAGGACCGGGCCCUCACUCGGGGCCUCCAAGAGGUAAGGCCUUACAGAGGAGGGAAGGGGGUGCAGUAGUGCCCCCCUGCAGCUCCAAGUGCUGGCUCCUCCCAGGUUGAUGAGCUGUUCCUAGAAGACUUCCAGGCACUGCCCCUUGAGAUCUUCCAGGAGUUUGACUACCAGCCAGUGGCUGCAGCAAGCCUGGCUCAGGUGCACCGUGCCAAGCUGCACGAUGGCACUGCUGUGGCUGUGAAGGUACUGGGGCCACCACCCUGUGCCAGGUGGGCUUCGGGCUUGGUGGCAACCCUGGGUCCUCAGUGUGCCUCUGCCUGCUGCAGGUGCAGUACAUUGACCUGCAGGACCGCUUUGAUGGGGACGUGCACACGCUGGAGCUCCUGCUGCGGCUCGUGGGGCUCAUGCAUCCCAGCUUCAGCUUCAGCUGGGUCCUGCAGGUAAUGCUACUCAGAGCAGGCCAGGCAGUGGGCGGGAGCUGGUCCUCGACCUGACCAACCGCCCACGUAUGGCCGCAGGACCUAAAGGGGACCCUGGCCCAGGAACUGGACUUUGAGAAUGAGGGCCACAACGCCGAGCGCUGUGCACAGGAGCUGAAGCACUUCCCCUACGUCACCGUCCCCCGAGUGCACUGGGACAAGUGCAGCAAGGUGGGCUGGGAUGGUCCUGGGGGUGUGGCGGCAUGGGCCUCUUGAGCUCAGCCUCCUGCCCUCCCACAGCGUGUGCUAACAGCCGACUUCUGUGAGGGCUGCAAGGUCAACGACGUGGAGGCCAUCGAGAGCCAGGGGCUGGCAGUGCGGGAUGUGAGUGCUGUGCACCUAGUCAGGGGGUGGGGUGGGGGUGCUGCCGGGUCUGCUGCACAUCCUGCCCCCUCCCCAGGUAGCAGAGAAGCUGAUCCAGGCUUUUGCUGAGCAGAUAUUCUACACAGGCUUCAUCCACUCAGAUCCCCACCCUGGCAAUGGUAGGACCCCUGGGAGAUGUCUUGGUGGGUGGCCUGGAUUGACAUGCUGUGUCUGCCACCCUGGCGAUGGUGGCCUCAGCGACAUACUCUGUCUGUAGUUCUGGUGCGGAGAGGCCUGGACGGGAAGGCAGAGCUGGUGCUGCUGGACCAUGGGCUCUACCAGUUCCUGGACGAGAAGUGAGCUGUGGGCAGGUGGGACCCUCUCCCUGUGGCCUGGCCUUUCCUGCCCUGAGACGUGGGGCUCAUAGCCAGACCCUCCCACAGGGACCGGUCAGCGCUGUGCCAGCUGUGGCGCACCAUCAUCCUGAGGGACAAGGCUGCAAUGAAGGAGCACGCAGCUGCACUUGGUGUAAACGGUAAGGGCAGGUGCAGCCCCAGGUUGGGCAGUGCUAGCCGGACACAGCCCAGCUCAGGCCCUGCCUCCACAGACUACUUGCUGUUCUCUGAGAUGCUCAUGCAGCGGCCUGUGCGCCUAGGGCAGCUGUGGCACUCCCACCUGCCCAGCCACGAGGAGGUGGCCUACAUGCAAGACAUGGCCCGCAGCCACUUCGAGGCCAUCAUGCAGGUGCUCCGGGCACUGCCUCGGUCCAUGCUGCUCGUGCUGCGCAACAUCAACACGGUCCGUGCCAUCAAUGUGGCUCUUGGCACCCCUGUGGACCGCUACUUCCUCAUGGCCAAGAGGUUAGUGACCGAGGGGGUUCCCUGGGGGUGGAUGAGGCCCAUGGGCUGAUGCCUGUGUCCGACACAGUGCGGUCAGAGGCUGGAGCCGCCUGGUGGGUGCAGCAUACCCAGGUAUCUACGGCAGUGGCCUCCUGCGCCACAUGAAGGUUGCCUGGGAGAUGUUCAAAUUUGAGGUGGCUCUGAGGUGAGUAGAUAUGUGGUACUGGUUGGGUGGUGGGCCUGGGCCUUCUGACAACCAAUCUUUGACCCCCUACUCUACACCCUCCCAUAGGUUGGAGACCCUGGCCAUGCGGCUCACCGCCCUCCUGGUUCGUGUUCUGGUCUACCUGGGCCUUGUGCCUCAGGCCGAGGAGCUCUACCAGUACCUGGAGACAUAGAUCCCCAGGGCCAGGAUGACCACACAGCUGCUCUUAGCCCUGGCCCACUGACAUCAGGCAGUCGGGCACCUCACACUGUGGGGCAUGGGGCAGUCAUGGCCUGAAGCAGGGGAAGCAUUGUGGGGCCCUGACCAGCAAUGACCACACACUCGUCUCAAACAAUUUGUUUUCCUUGUU